rnacentral:lncRNA from 1 species
GCUUGCAGCUUGAUUUUUUAGUUUACCUUUUGUUAGAAAAGAAAUGAUUUGGGGGCUUCUUUUUAGUAAAAGAGAAACCUUACUGAAGACUCUCUUACUGUCACUAUCUGCCUACAUAAUUUCUUUCUAGCUCCUGUAUCAGUAAUGUCCAAUGAGAAAUGCUGGGAGAAGAUCAGAAGGCAGGAGGUGAGACAGGAGUAUUUGUACCUCACCCUCACAAUGUCACCGUCGCUCACUCCCAGCCUGGCGGGGUGGCAGCCCUCUACAGUACAACUGCUGGCUUCUCUUACACGGUCACCACUCUCCCUAGGUUCUGGUGGAAAAGCUUGAAAAGGUGAAUGCAAAUGCCACUGUGGUGCUUCCUCAGAAAACAGCAAGUGAAGAGCAAGUUGAUGAGACAUAUGACAAAAUAAACCCUGUGAGCAGACACGUGUGACAGACCCAGCUGCAAAAGUGGAAAGUGUGAACUGUGUUAUUUCAGUUAGGGUAAGGAAAUAAAAUGUGAUUCUAAAAUGGAAAAAAAAAAAGAGUAAGCUUGGAGAUAAUAGCAGCUGCUGAAAUUGAAGAGUUGGCACCUUACUUGCAAAAGGUAUAUAGGAAGAAUAGACCCAGAGGGAAAAUGUAAGAAAAUAUCUAGCGGUGGGUGGAUUUUUCCUUUUUUUUCCCCCUGUCAUUGCAUUUGAAGAUCAAUUCUGCCUUGGAGGGCUCAAAAUUCUUUGUAUUCUUGCCGUGGUGAUAAUAAUCUAUGUUGCAGCUCAGCUUGUGCAGUCUAAGGACACAAGCAUCGGAAUUCUAUUAUGAUGGUGCCUGAUUUGGUGAUAGAGAAAAAAUGAAGAGGACAACUUGUACUGUUAAUAGAGUAAGUAGAUUCCUAAAUGUUAGUAGACAUGCAAUUACAUUUUUGAGCCCAUCAAUGCAAGUUUUGAAGUUCAGUAUUCUGACAUUUGGAUGUAGGUAAAUAAAUGAUGGUCACUGCUAUCUAUCCUUCAAAAACUUAGAAAUGGUGGGAAAGCUUGAAAUCGUGGCUUCUCUGUAGAAUUUGAAAAACAGAAGCUGGAUCCUUGUUCCCAAGCAAUGUUGGAACUAAAGGAGAGUAAGAGAGUAAACUGGAGUGGGGUGAAACAGUAUUUUUUAACAUGCUUUUAUUUAACUUCUUCUUUACCUCUUAAAAAGUGUUUCUACCUGUCAUUCUGUACUCUAAUUUUCUGAUUCUGAAUAUUUCAAUUUUGCAUGCAUUCUCUUCUAAACAGUAACAGGAAAUAUUUUCCAGGGGAUCUUAUAUUGUAUUUAAGGUUCUUUUUGUUUUAUUUAUGUACCUAUGUAUUUAUUUACUUUUUUGAGACAAGGUCUCACUCUGCCACUCAGGCUGGAGUGUAAUUGUGUGACCUUGGCUCACUGUAGCCCCAGCUUCCCGAGCUCAAGUGAUUCUCCCACUUCUCAGCCUCCUGAGUAGCUGUGGCUACAGGU